rnacentral:rRNA from 1 species
GGGAUAAGCGUUGGAAACGACGUCUAAUACUGGAUAUGAUCACUGGCCGCAUGGUCUGGUGGUGGAAAGAUUUUUUGGUUGGGGAUGGACUCGCGGCCUAUCAGCUUGUUGGUGAGGUAAUGGCUCACCAAGGCGACGACGGGUAGCCGGCCUGAGAGGGUGACCGGCCACACUGGGACUGAGACACGGCCCAGACUCCUACGGGAGGCAGCAGUGGGGAAUAUUGCACAAUGGGCGAAAGCCUGAUGCAGCAACGCCGCGUGAGGGAUGACGGCCUUCGGGUUGUAAACCUCUUUUAGUAGGGAAGAAGCGAAAGUGACGGUACCUGCAGAAAAAGCACCGGCUAACUACGUGCCAGCAGCCGCGGUAAUACGUAGGGUGCAAGCGUUGUCCGGAAUUAUUGGGCGUAAAGAGCUCGUAGGCGGUUUGUCGCGUCUGCUGUGAAAUCCCGAGGCUCAACCUCGGGCUUGCAGUGGGUACGGGCAGACUAGAGUGCGGUAGGGGAGAUUGGAAUUCCUGGUGUAGCGGUGGAAUGCGCAGAUAUCAGGAGGAACACCGAUGGCGAAGGCAGAUCUCUGGGCCGUAACUGACGCUGAGGAGCGAAAGCAUGGGGAGCGAACAGGAUUAGAUACCCUGGUAGUCCAUGCCGUAAACGUUGGGCGCUAGAUGUAGNGACCUUUCCACGGUUUCUGUGUCGUAGCUAACGCAUUAAGCGCCCCGCCUGGGGAGUACGGCCGCAAGGCUAAAACUCAAAGGAAUUGACGGGGGCCCGCACAAGCGGCGGAGCAUGCGGAUUAAUUCGAUGCAACGCGAAGAACCUUACCAAGGCUUGACAUACACCGGAAACGGCCAGAGAUGGUCGCCCCCUUGUGGUCGGUGUACAGGUGGUGCAUGGUUGUCGUCAGCUCGUGUCGUGAGAUGUUGGGUUAAGUCCCGCAACGAGCGCAACCCUCGUUCUAUGUUGCCAGCGGGUUAUGCCGGGGACUCAUAGGAGACUGCCGGGGUCAACUCGGAGGAAGGUGGGGAUGACGUCAAAUCAUCAUGCCCCUUAUGUCUUGGGCUUCACGCAUGCUACAAUGGCCGGUACAAAGGGCUGCGAUACCGUAAGGUGGAGCGAAUCCCAAAAAGCCGGUCUCAGUUCGGAUUGAGGUCUGCAACUCGACCUCAUGAAGUCGGAGUCGCUAGUAAUCGCAGAUCAGCAACGCUGCGGUGAAUACGUUCCCGGGCCUUGUACACACCGCCCGUCAAGUCAUGAAAGUCGGUAACACCCGAAGCCGGUGGCCUAACCCUUGUGGAAGGAGCCGUCGAAGGUGGGAUCGGUGAU